CAACACGGUAGAUAACCAAUCAAAAUAGGAUUAGUCUGGUUUUGGCGUGAGAACGGGAAAUACUACGGAUUCCAAAACAAAGGACUUAAGGAUCGUCCAGCGUCAACGAUCUGCUUGGCAAGCAGGUUGAUCAGAUGAAAGGAGACCUCGGUGCAUGUUUGAUGAGGGUGUAUAUGUGGGGGAUGACGCAGCCGGUGUCUCUGAACAGCUGGAGUCAUAAAAACAACAGAGAACCUGUGAGCUUCAAACAUGGAGGGGCAGCAGUCCUUUGAAACAUGACAAGGUGGAGACAGAAGCAACGAGUCACCAGUGCUGCAACAAGGACAUAAUAUCUCACCAGUGAGCAGGACUAACUGUGUUUGAUGAGGCUGGAAGCACCACUGCUGGAAACUGAACUGUGGUCUCUGCAGUCCUCUACCCCCCACCCCCCUCAGGCCUUUAAAUCAAUGUGUCACCUCAGCUGACUUCAGUAUUUGUGCCUUUGGUUUUCAGGCUGAACUGGUACAAAUGUGAACCUUUAUUGUGGAUGGAAAGGUGCACGUCUGUUGGCACGUUACAGUAAAAUAAACAUUUCACAAUAAAACGAUAAAUGUAUUAUUUUAUAUUCAACAGAAUAAAGACUUUUAGAUCUGAAGAUUAAUCUAUUAGUUUCUCAACAAGAAAGUUAAUAAGCAACUACUUUAAUAAUUGAUUAAUCACUAGUUUUAUCUUCUUCAACGUGUCUGACUGUGAGUCAUCUUUGUUCUUUUUCUAAAAUAAAAUGGUUU